rnacentral:tRNA from 1 species
GCGCGCCGAGCCGCCGCCUUUGCGCCAGUUGUAUUCCCAGUACAGCAUGUCCGGGUAGUGCGACGCCGCCCGCACACC